UUUCAAAGGGGACGAGGUGAUGUGCCUCAACACCAAACCGAAAAGGGAAUGGGAAGCAGGACUGGAGGCAGUACGAGUCAUGGAAAUGAUGAUGAGGAUGACUACUAUGGCAAUGGGGGAUAUGAUAAGUAUGGCGAGGGUGAUCUGUAUGGUGAUGAGCACUAUGAUCACUAUGGCCAUGGGGAAUAUGAUGACUAUGGAGAUGAGGAUGACUAUGGCUAUGCCGGUGGCGAUGGCGAUGAUGAUGAUUGGCUAUAAAAGUCUAAUGAUAUUCAAGUCAUGCCAAAAUGUAGUUAUGUUAGAUAUUUGAAACACUUUAUUAUCUUAUGGACAAAUUUGUCUUAGUGGACAAUUUAUCUUAUGCACAAUGUGGCCUAUCUCAGUUACAAUUUUGUUCUGCAUUCGACAUUUGAUAAUUAUGGUUAAUGCAAUUUGGAUGCAACUCAA